rnacentral:rRNA from 1 species
UUGGAGGGCAAGUCUGGUGCCAGCAGCCGCGGUAAUUCCAGCUCCAAUAGCGUAUAUUAAAGUUGUUGCAGUUAAAAAGCUCGUAGUUGAAUUUCGGGGUUCUACCGUUGGUCGGGCUUUGUCUGUACUGGUGUGUAGAAUUUCUACCUUCUGGGGAACCAUCAUGCUAUUAAUUUAGCGUGGUGGGAAACCAGGACCUUUACCUUGAAAAAAUUAGUGUGUUCAAAGCAGGCUUAUGUCUGAAUACAUUAGCGUGGAAUAAUAGAAUAGGACGGUGGUCCUGUUUUGUUGGUUUCUGAAUCACUGUAAUGAUUAAUAGGGAUAGUUGGGGGCAUUAGUAUUCAAUUGUCAGAGGUGAAAUUCUUGGAUUUAUUGAAGACUAACUUCUGCGAAAGCAUUUGCCAAGGAUGUUUUCAUUAAUCAAGAACGAAAGUUAGGGGAUCGAAGACGAUCAGAUACCGUCGUAGUCUUAACCAUAAACUAUGCCGACUAGGGAUCGGACGAUGUUAAUUUUUCUUGACUCGUUCGGCGCCUUACGGGAAAC